AACGAACGCUGGCGGCAUGCCUAACACAUGCAAGUCGAACGAGACCUUCGGGUCUAGUGGCGCACGGGUGCGUAACGCGUGGGAAUCUGCCCUUGGGUUCGGAAUAACAGUUGGAAACGACUGCUAAUACCGGAUGAUGACGUAAGUCCAAAGAUUUAUCGCCCAGGGAUGAGCCCGCGUAGGAUUAGCUCGUUGGUGGGGUAAAGGCCUACCAAGGCGACGAUCCUUAGCUGGUCUGAGAGGAUGAUCAGCCACACUGGGACUGAGACACGGCCCAGACUCCUACGGGAGGCAGCAGUGGGGAAUAUUGGACAAUGGGCGAAAGCCUGAUCCAGCAAUGCCGCGUGAGUGAUGAAGGCCUUAGGGUAGUAAAGCUCUUUUACCCGGGAUGAUAAUGACAGUACCGGGAGAAUAAGCCCCGGCUAACUCCGUG
rnacentral:rRNA from 1 species